CUGCGGAAGGAUCAUUGUUGAGAUAUGAGGAUAAAUAACUAGAGAACUUGUUAAUCAUAUGAGAUCCUACCAACAAAGAUUGCACAACUCAGGAGUAUAUAUAUUCUCUUUGAUUGGCAUGUUUGUUGGAUGGAGAGGGCCAUGCCCCUGCCAAUUGAUGGUUGUGGGUGUUGGAAAAUGAUCGCGGACACGGCAUGUGUCAAGGAUAUAAAGUGCUCAUUGCCAGUGUGGCUUCGGUUGGGGUCUGCUAUGCGCUCUCCGAAGCAUGUUGUGGCAUGGCGGUGGUUUAUCACAUUAAAGAUACGACUCUCGGCAACGGAUAUCUAGGCUCUUGCAUCGAUGAAGAACGUAGCGAAAUGCGAUACUUGGUGUGAAUUGCAGAAUCCCGUGAGCCAUCGAGUCUUUGAACGCAAGUUGCGCCCGAGACCUCUUGGUUGCGGGCACGCCUGCCUGGGCGUCAAACCUUAUGUUGCUCCAUCCAACCCAUCCACCUUAUGCGUUAGAUGGAAGCGAAAAUUGGUUCACCGUGCUUCUAUAGUUGCGGUGAGCUGAAGUACGAGACGCCGAAGGAGUAUGGAUGGGUACAUGACAUGUGGUGUGCAGAAGAAUAUUUCUGAUGUGGCUGAUGUUGUUCCCUCCUCGGCAUGUGCUCGCGCGUACCAAGCAAGCGUGCUUAAGGGACCCUUCCUUGAAUUUUAGGUGGCGUUCUCCCUUGUACUGCGACCCCAGGUCAGACGGGACUACCCGCUGAGUUUAAGCAUAUCAAUAA
rnacentral:rRNA from 1 species